GCUAAGGCAGCCUCCUGCAGGCGCAUGAGUUGGCACCAACCCUAGACCAGUGGCUAAAACUGGUCUUUUCAUCUCAAAACCCAGCUUUCCAUCAAAGGCUUGGAAUUCUAUUUAUUUUCUCUUUUUUGUUUCUUGGUCACCAUCAUGUUUCAGAAAGGAGUUAAAGCUGCUCUUCGGCUGGAGUAGAUGCUCACCAAGCAUUUGUUGAGGAAGGGAGGAAAGAAUAAAUGAAAGAGCAGUCAGCACCUGAUAAAUGGUUGAUGGAGAAUCAAAUAAGAUAAUGCAUGUGAAACUGAUGUGUAAUCUGUGAACAGCGAAAAAUCAUAACUGGACAGGUCUGCAGCCUUAUCCACUGGCGCCAUCUGCUGGAAAUAAGUUACUACAACAGGUCCAUUUCUGUUUUCACCGGACAUGAGGACACCAGCUUCUGGAAAUGCUGGCAAGGAGCUGAAGGAAAAUAGAGAAUACAUUUCAGCAAAAUCUAACAUGUGCCAGAUACCGUGCUAAGCGUUUUACAUGCAUUAUUUCUCUUCAUCCUCAUUGUAACUAGAAGAGGUAGAUACUAUUAUUAUUGCAUCUUUAGAGAUUACAAAUUCGAGGUUGAUAGAGGCUUACAGCAGAUUUAUAAUGUCUAAGGCUGCGUGGCUAGUGGGUAUUUGGGAUAAGACUCAAACUCAGUUCUGUCUGACUUCAGAGUCUGUUGCGGGUUGGGUUCCCCGGGAAUCAGGCUCCAACAUGGAGAUGUGCAGGCAGGAAUUUCAUGCAGAGCGCUCCCAGGAUCACGGGUGGAAGGAAUAAGUCAGACUGCAAUGCCACCUCAACAGAGGCCUCGGCUCAUGCAAGAGGGAAGUAUGGAGCUGCGGUCGCAAGAAGGCUGGACCUUGGGACUCCCUCUUCACCCAGUCAUUGGAUGCAGAACAUGGGCUAGGUUGCGCUCUUCAGCCAGGGGGAGGCCCCCAGAGGACAGCUGAGAGCUGUCGGCAGCCAACGCUUCCAGCAACUGGGAGAAUAAGUGCCUGAGUCCUGGAGUAGGGGUCAGGGCGGCAUGCCACAGUAUCCACUACAGAGCCCGUGCACCUAUCCCACCUGCACUCCAGCUCAAAUAAGGGAACAGCUGAGAACGUGCCGUGGCCUAAGGAAGAGGAGAGAUACAUACUGCAGACCUUGACGCAGCCUGCAGCUUGGAGCCAAGACCAGCCAAGCCCCUCUGGGCCCAGCCUAGAUCAGCCCACCUACAGAAACAUAUGUGACAAUAAAUGAUUGUUGUUUUAUACCACCGAGUUUUGGGGUGGCUGGUUAUGCAGCAAGAGCUGACUGACACACAUUUACAAAGUUGUAGAGGAUAAUCCACGUGGAUGUGUCACGCAUAAUUUCUACCGAUUAUGGUUUUUCCUUAGGAACUGUCUUUAGACCUUAAUCUCCAUAUAGGAUGUGACUCCUGUGUUUAAACAUGGAAAAAACUGGGCCAGGCAUUUUUCUCCGCAUCUGUGGCAGAGACCACUAAAAGGCCCCUAAUAAAUGUCUCCUUUUCUUCUAGAGCAACAAGAAACUCCAAGGUCCCAAAACCACUGGGAAACAGGGCUAUAAAAUCUGUGUGGUCUCAAAAUACAACACUAAUGUCUAUUAAAUAUGGCCAUGAGGAUACUAGAUAAGGAAGAGUUUCCCCAAGGGAAGAGCCAAGGGUCAUGAAGGUCAGAGGACAGGGACACUUCUCCUAGAAAGCAGGACGAACUCACCUGACAGACAAAAAUGUCUGUCCAAUUCUUGAACUUUGAAUAGUAUCUAGAGGUCAUCUCCCUUGUGCCUAGGCACAUGGUCCUCCAUAUA
ensembl:lncRNA